rnacentral:rRNA from 1 species
UGGGGAAUUUUGGACAAUGGGCGAAAGCCUGAUCCAGCAAUGCCGCGUGUGUGAAGAAGGCCUUCGGGUUGUAAAGCACUUUUGUCCGGAAAGAAAUCCUUGGCUCUAAUACAGUCGGGGGAUGACGGUACCGGAAGAAUAAGCACCGGCUAACUACGUGCCAGCAGCCGCGGUAACACGUAGGGUGCAAGCGUUAAUCGGAAUUACUGGGCGUAAAGCGUGCGCAGGCGGUUUGCUAAGACCGAUGUGAAAUCCCCGGGCUCAACCUGGGAACUGCAUUGGUGACUGGCAGGCUAGAGUAUGGCAGAGGGGGGUAGAAUUCCACGUGUAGCAGUGAAAUGCGUAGAGAUGUGGAGGAAUACCGAUGGCGAAGGCAGCCCCCUGGGCCAAUACUGACGCUCAUGCACGAAAGCGUGGGGAGCAAACAGGAUUAGAUACCCUGGUAGUCCACGCCCUAAACGAUGUCAACUAGUUGUUGGGGAUUCAUUUCCUUAGUAACGUAGCUAACGCGUGAGGUUGACCGCCUGGGGAGUACGGUCGCAAGAUUAAAACUCAAAUGAAUUGAC